rnacentral:lncRNA from 1 species
GCGACUUCCAAUGUUUACUUAGCUUCCAUCAGAGCCCUAUGCAUCUUCUAGGUCUCCAGUAGGCUUUUUCAAGCUCCCCAAUUGCAGUUGUUUUGAUUCCUUGCACUCUUUGUUCAUUCUCCAACCUAACUAGUCCCUAAUGCUUGGUGAAUGAUAGCCGGCUUUUUCUAUUUCCUUCUUCUCCAAGGAAUGUCCCUUAGUA